rnacentral:rRNA from 1 species
UACGAGGGGGGCGAGCGUUGUUCGGAAUUAUUGGGCGUAAAGGGUGCGUAGGCGGUUCCGCAAGUCCUGUGUGAAAUCUUCGGGCUCAACUCGAAGUCUGCACGGGAAACUGCGGGGCUUGAGUGUGGGAGAGGUGAGUGGAAUUCCCGGUGUAGCGGUGAAAUGCAUAGAUAUCGGGAGGAACACCUGCGGCGAAAGCGGCUCACUGGACCAUAACUGACGCUGAUGGCACGAAAGCUAGGGGAGCAAACAGG